rfam:Bacillus clausii KSM-K16 DNA, complete genome.
ACGAUAUUCCGCUGCUGCAGUGUUGGCAUGAAUGUCUG